AAUUUAAUUAAUAAUAAAAAAUUAGAAUGGAGUGUCAUUUUGGAUAAGAAACUUAAACGUUCAAAAUUUCUCCAUUCUAUUUACACUCAUUAAGUAUUAAUAUUAAAUUUUUACCUUAAUCUAUGUGGAAAAGCUAAAACAUCAAAUUUGCAGGAAUAGAUGGAGAAUAUAUUAUGGACCUGAAUUGUGACAACAAAUAGAGCGGAGCGGACAGAGCGGAUAAUACGGACAAAGUGCAGAAAAAGUGGUUGCAGUGUACAAAGCGGAUAAAAUGGCGAAGCUGAUUAAGUGGAUGAAGCAUAGCGGUUUUAUGAGUUGAAUGGUAAAAAACGGACAAAACGGUUUAAUUUUUUCAAAAACAUAUUUUGUAACAAAAAAUUUCUGGACAACUAUUAAUUUUUUUUUAGUACCACAACAUUUUGAAAAAUGUAU
rnacentral:sRNA from 1 species